rnacentral:rRNA from 1 species
UCGGACGCUGACGAGUGGCGAACGGGUGAGUGAUACAUCGGAACGUGCCCAGUCGUGGGGGAUAACUACUCGAAAGAGUAGCUAAUACCGCAUACGAUCUGAGGAUGAAAGCGGGGGACCUUCGGGCCUCGCGCGAUUGGAGCGGCCGAUGGCAGAUUAGGUAGUUGGUGGGAUAAAAGCUUACCAAGCCGACGAUCUGUAGCUGGUCUGAGAGGACGACCAGCCAUCACGUGGGCACUGAGACACGGCCCAGACUCCUACGGGAGGCAGCAGUGGCGGAAUUUUGGCACAAUGGGCGAAAGCCUGAUCCAGCAAUGCCGCGUGCCGGAUGAAGGCCUUCGUGUUGUAAACUGCUUUUGUACUGAACAAAAAAGCUCCUUCUAAUACUGGGGGCCCAUGACGCUGCCGCACUAUUAAGCACCGGUUAAUUACUUGCCACCUGCCGCGAUAAUACAUAUGGUGCAAGCGUUACUCGGAAUAACUGAUUGUAAAGCGUGCGCCGCCGCUUGUGUAAGACCGAUGCGAUAUCCCUGGGCUCAACCUGUGAACUGCUUUUGUGACUGCAUGCCUCUAGUACGGUAAACUGCGAUGCAAUUCCGCGUGUAUCACUGCAAUGCGUAGAUAUCCGUAGGAGCACCGACGACGAAGGCAAUCCCCUGGACCUGUACUGACGCUCAUGCACGAAAGCGUGGGGAGCAAGCAGGAUUAGAUACCCUGGUAGUCCACGCUCUAAACGAUGUCAACUGGUUGUUAGGGAAUAAGUUUUCUCAGCAACGAAGCUAACGCGUGAAGUUGACCGCCUGGGGAGUACGGCCUCAAGGUUGAAACUCAAAGGAUUUGACGGGGACCUGCAUAAGCGGCGGAUGAUGUGUUUAACUCCGAUGCACCGGUAAAACCUUACCCCCCUUUGAAAUGGCCGGAAGUUUC